GAUGAGCGCUGGCGGCGUGCCUAAUACAUGCAAGUCGAGCGAACAGACGAGGAGCUUGCUCCUCUGACGUUAGCGGCGGACGGGUGAGUAACACGUGGGUAACCUACCUAUAAGACUGGGAUAACUUCGGGAAACCGGAGCUAAUACCGGAUAAUAUAUUGAACCGCAUGGUUCAAUAGUGAAAGACGGUUUUGCUGUCACUUAUAGAUGGAUCCGCGCCGCAUUAGCUAGUUGGUAAGGUAACGGCUUACCAAGGCAACGAUGCGUAGCCGACCUGAGAGGGUGAUCGGCCACACUGGAACUGAGACACGGUCCAGACUCCUACGGGAGGCAGCAGUAGGGAAUCUUCCGCAAUGGGCGAAAGCCUGACGGAGCAACGCCGCGUGAGUGAUGAAGGUCUUCGGAUCGUAAAACUCUGUUAUUAGGGAAGAACAAAUGUGUAAGUAACUAUGCACGUCUUGACGGUACCUAAUCAGAAAGCCACGGCUAACUACGUG
rnacentral:rRNA from 1 species